CGGGGCGUGGCUCAGCCUGGUAGAGCACUUGGUUCGGGACCAAGGUGUCGUCCGUUCAAAUCGGAUCGCCCCGA
rnacentral:tRNA from 2 species